CCCCAAAAAAAAAACUGUAGCCUACAUCAUCAUCAGCAGGUCAGCACCCUGUGUGUUCUCCAUCCCUCCUCAUCUGGCAUUCAGGCAUGCAACAAUGACCCAGUGAUGCUGUGUGACAGGCCAAGCAGGGCACUGGCUGUUUGUGUCAAUCCAGAUCAAUCACUCCCUCUUCUGGACGGACAACGCCAUCAACGCGCAGAAAGGUCACAGAGUGUACUCAAGCCAGACCUGAUGUGGUGAGCAAGGAGGUCAGCGUAGCAAGUGAACACCCUUGACUGACGGAGUGACACAGUUGGCUGAGAAAAGAAAGAGGUUCUGAUCUGUGGAGUCACUCACUGGGGCCCAGCUUUCCUCCUGUCAGAGCAAGGGUUCUUUCACUGCUGUUAUAUUUCAGGCUGUUAUUGUUGGCCCUCUUGCAGCCUCGGGGAGAAGAAGAAGACGAAAAGGAAAGAAGAAGAAGGAGAAGGAGAGAGGAAAAAGAAUUGUAAAAAGACAGAAAAAGACAGACACAGAGGAUGAGAGAAAGAGUAAAUGAAGCAGAGAAAGAAAUUCCACAAAGGCCAAGGUACUGUAGAUGGAUACAAUCUCACCUGCUCUGGUCUCCACACAGACCUGUCCGUCACAUGUUUAUACAGACCUGUAUGUUCUAUUGCAGAGCAACACACUGCUCGUCUCAAACAGCAGGAAGCAUUGACGCUUUCAUGUGGAGCACAGCCCAAAGUAGAGCAAGAUCACAAUGUGUGUGUGUGUGUGUGUGUGUGAGUGUGUGUGUGUGUGUGCAUGCGUGUGUGUGUAUGUGCGUGUGUGAAACCCAGGCUUUUCCCCCCAUGGGACCUGCACAAACACGCUUCCCAUCUUUCCUUUGAGUUUCACAUUCAAAGGUUCCACUCGUUCAGCUGUCAGUCAUUCUCUCAGCCAAUCAAGGCCCUUCAUUCUCAGUCUGUUUAUAGAUCAAGGCUGGUUUAAGCGUACGUAUGUGAUGUGACUGGAAUUUUUACCAUGACUAAUACUAAUACUGUAAAUAUUCUUUUUCUUUUUUUUUUUACACAUCACCAGCGGUGUCAAUCAAAAUCAACACUUAUUGUGCCAUACUGUGAGCAUACUGGAAGUCUAUAACAAUGUUAAUGACUGCAGGUCCUGGAAACUCGUUGCUGCUACUAGAAGGAUGUCAAAAAAAAAUUCAGAAAGAAAUCUGGACCAAGAAGGGGGAAAAAAAGGUCUCAAAUGUGGCUGAACGGAAUGAAAUAAGUUCAUGGAUGUAUGUAGAAAGAAAGAGGGGCACAGAUGGAGGUUAUAAAAGGAAGUAGCUUUGUGUGUGGGUUUGGACUGGUGUGUGUGUGUGUACUAUAUGUGUGCAUUUGUGUUAUCAAAAGAGAUUCAGUGCUGUAUAGAGGCAUUAACUAUUGUGUUAUAGGGCUAUCGCAACCCAGAUAUGUCAUACUUAAUUUAGUAGCUAAGAGUACAAGAGAAAAGGGGGAGUAAAAAAACUACAAAUUACUGUGAAAUGUACAAUAUAUCUGCGAGUAUGAGUACAUCACACAGCAACUGCACUUGUGCUUUCUUACAUGAAAACUCAGAGGGAAAGAGGGCUAUAGUGAUAGCGGGAGAGAAUGAAACAGACGGAGCAUCAGGUGACAGCAGGCGUUAUCAGACUUCACCUCUGAUUGCCAUCUAUUAUGGUGGAACAAUAGUUUCCUGUGGGCCAUGCUAACGACCUGUGUUUGUCAGCAACAGGGGAAAUUAACCCAAGCCAUACUUUGUUUGCUUUAUGCCAGAAGGGGAAACUGACAAAAGGAGAGGAGUGUAGUGGGAAAAGGAAGAAUCACUCGCACACCUGUUAAUGUAGUGAUAGACAGCUGCCGUAUGUCAAUACCUGCACUGCGUGGGAACGGUAGGUGGAGUUCAGUUACCAACAGAGGGCAGCAAAGGGCUUCAGAGCUGACACGUCCCUCAGAGGCGCAUCAAAAAAGCUCAACCUCAGACUUACAGCCAUCUAUAUCUACAUGUCAUCUCACAAAUGUCAACUUAACACUCACUUUGUGUUUGAUUCACAGUUAUUCAAGACAUUGCGGCGUUUAGUGUCUAAACCUCAGAGCUGCCGCGAUGAGAUGCUUGUUUGUUUUUGUCAACUUUACCUAUUUUUCCCCAGCUGAAAUAAGGUGGGAGUGAGGUUUGAACUGCAGGGCACUGGUAAUGGUGGAGUGUGUGUUCUACAGCACGUCUGAGCGAGAAACUAGCUCGAUCUAUUCACACUACAUGCAGAGCCGUGGCCUCCAGGCUUGAGUUCUUGCUUCGGUAAUGACUCUGUUCCCCUGUGGAAUGUAGAACAUUGUCUUUCCUCAAAUGAAGGAAAGCACACAAUCACAGACACACACACAAUCUCUCUCUCUCUCACACACACACACACAAAAGCAUGGACUUCAAUAUGCAUGAAAUUCACAAGGUUGUAAACACACACAGACAAAAUAGCGCACGUUCGAAUGUAAGUACACAUAGAUACACACACAUACUUGCAGCCACAAAUGCCUCCUCUUUAACACACACAC